AUUUCGAUGGCUGAGUGGUAAAGCGCUUGGUUUACUAACCAUGGGGUCCCGGGUUCGAAUCCUGGUGAAGAUU
rfam:Biomphalaria glabrata isolate BB02 unplaced genomic scaffold LGTN_random_Scaffold4757, whole genome shotgun sequence.